AAGUCGUAACAAGGUUUCCGUAGGUGAACCUGCGGAAGGAUCAUUACCGAUUUUAGCGAGCCUGACCUCUUUUGGUCAUUGGUCUCGCGAAAACUUUGUAUUUAAAACCCCACUCUUAUGUAAAUGAAUCAUUUAUUAUUAUUAUUUAUUAAUAAAUAAAGAUCACUUUCAACAACGGAUCUCUUGGCUCUC
rnacentral:misc_RNA from 1 species